rnacentral:rRNA from 1 species
AUGGCAUCACGAGACGGCAUUCGUUUUGUGAAUUAAAGCUGAGGUGCUUAGAGAUGAGUGUGCGUCUGUAUUAGCUAGUCGGUGCGGUAACGGCGCACCAAGGCGACGAUCAGUAGGGGGCGUGAGAGCGUGGACCCCCCACACGGGUACUGAGACACGGACCCGACUCCUACGGGAGGCAGCAGUAAGGAAUAUUGGUCAAUGGAGGAAACUCUGAACCAGCCAUCCCGCGUGCAGGAAGAAUGCCCUAUGGGUUGUAAACUGCUUUUAUCUGGGAAGAAAAGUCGGGAUUUAUCCUGAUCUGACGGUACCAGAGGAAUAAGCACCGGCUAACUCCGUG